rnacentral:rRNA from 1 species
AGAUACCCUGGUAGUCCACGCCGUAAACGAUGUCGACUUGGAGGUUGUGCCCUUGAGGCGUGGCUUCCGGAGCUAACGCGUUAAGUCGACCGCCUGGGGAGUACGGCCGCAAGGUUAAAACUCAAAUGAAUUGACGGGGGCCCGCACAAGCGGUGGAGCAUGUGGUUUAAUUCGAUGCAACGCGAAGAACCUUACCUGGUCUUGACAUCCACAGAACUUUCCAGAGAUGGAUUGGUGCCUUCGGGAACUGUGAGACAGGUGCUGCAUGGCUGUCGUCAGCUCGUGUUGUGAAAUGUUGGGUUAAGUCCCGCAACGAGCGCAACCCUUAUCCUUUGUUGCCAGCGGUCCGGCCGGGAACUCAAAGGAGACUGCCAGUGAUAAACUGGAGGAAGGUGGGGAUGACGUCAAGUCAUCAUGGCCCUUACGACCAGGGCUACACACGUGCUACAAUGGCGCAUACAAAGAGAAGCGACCUCGCGAGAGCAAGCGGACCUCAUAAAGUGCGUCGUAGUCCGGAUUGGAGUCUGCAACUCGACUCCAUGAAGUCGGAAUCGCUAGUAAUCGUGGAUCAGAAUGCCACGGUGAAUACGUUCCCGGGCCUUGUACACACCGCCCGUCACACCAUGGGAGUGGGUUGCAAAAGAAGUAGGUAACUUAACCUUCGGGAGGGCGCUUACCACUUUGUGAUUCAUGACUGGGGUGAAGUCGUAACAAGGUAACCGUAGGGGAACCUGCGGUUGGAUCACCUCCUUACCUUAAAGAAGC